UGCGCUCCUGUAGGAGAGAGUUGACCCACCCUAGGGCGUUUGAGGUCGCGUGGAGGCAGCCGAAGUGGCUCGAGGUGGAGGAAGGAUGCAGUAGCCCGAGCGUGUUCAAAGGCUGCCGUGACGCGCCAGCCUUAGAAAGUGAGAUGCAAUGAAUACACGUAACGUUCUGUACUUAAGCUCUCUCCUUUGCAAAAAGAUCCACAACUCGGCAUUUCACAUCCAAACGAUGAAAAUUUCCCGGAUGCCAUCAACACUUGGAAGAUUUUGUUGGGUUCUGGGCAUGACAGUACCAAAGAACCCAGACUCCAAGUAUAUGAAAGCUCAACAGGCUGCACCGUAAAUUAUGCUUCAGUAUAAAGUAAAAUAAAUUGAGCCAGGCAUUACUGAGUAAGCACUGAGGAUGCGGCGAUGACCCAGACAGAGAAGGCCCCGCUCUUGUAGGUCAUCUCUUGCAGUGGGGGACAUGAUAGGCACACGCAUCUUCCCAAAGGAUAUUAAGAAAUUGGGACAUGCUUCUGAUAGAAUAUUAAGUGAAAAAAGUAGGAUAUAGACUAUAUACAAUAUGGUCUCAGUUUUGUUUUUCAACGAUUUAAAGGAUAUGUAUUUAUAUUGCACACCAAAAAAAAGACAAGGUAGAAAUACGAUAAGAUAUUACCAACUUUUGACUGGUAGGAUUAAAAGUUAUUUUUUAUACUUUUCUAAAUUUCCUAAAAUAAAUGCUGUUUUUGAUAAUCCUAAAACAAUAAAAAUAAAAAAUAUACUGUACAAAAUAUACAUUAUACCUAGGAGUAGGUAAUAGUCUUCGCUUCACAGUGUCUAAAAUACCUGUAAUAGUUCAACAUACAUCAAACGGGUUCAUAGGGAAUAGCUAGUCUUAAAAGUUUUUAAAAAAUUUCUUGUUCUGUAUUUCAUAUUUCUUCACUAAAAAUCAGCCUUAAUAAAUAUUCUUAAAGUGAUUUUAACUGAGUUUUAUAGGCUGUAUUAUUUUCCUUUAUAAAGCUUUUCUGGAGUUAAAUUGAAGUUUAUUGUCUUUAGAAAGUAGAUUGCACUGAGCCCGCUAAGUCAUUCCUUUGCCAUAGAGACAGUAGUGCCUUCACCACUGUCUUACUGUAGAGUAGGGCUUACCGCGGGACUGUGUCAAAAGAACAUUUUCUGAAGUAGAUUUUAAAAUAGUAUUCACACCAUUUGUUCCUGGAGACUUGUGGGUUCAGAUAGGACAUGCUCAAUUUAAGAAUCUAAGUUGAGGUUUUCGUCUUUACAUCACAUCCAUUUACUCUUUGACUUUGAGUCGUUUACCCUCUUGUGACUUUUUAAUUUUGUAACAUACAGAAUAAUACUUAAGGUUAUUCUACAUUCAACAAACAUUUGUUGAGUAACUGCUAUUUCAAGAUAUUCUACUGGAUGUCGGGGCCACUAGCAAUCUGAGAUAUUCACUGCCUGAUCUAGAAGUAAAUAAAUCAUUACAGUGUGGUGAAGGAGAAAGACUGACGUGGGCUCUGCGUUCAUUCAUUAUAUCCCUCCGUAGGCACUUAGGGGUGUCUGUGCUGUUCCAGGAAGAGCAGUCCACGGCUCCUUUUCUUACAGGCUGGUGGAAGAGUCCACUUUAUAAACAUAAUAGCAGUGUGAUGAACAUGAGGAACAGGGGCCUGGAAGCACAGGAGGAAGUGAUUCACUUUGAUUUGUGAAACCAAGAAGGACUUUUGGAGGAGGCAUUAUUUGACCCCUGUCUUAAAGGGUCCACACAAAUGAAUCAGGUAGACCAGAGGGAGAGGGGCAUGGCAGACCGGAGGAACUCCUUACACAAAGAACACAGGGAGGCUGCUACUAGGUAAUGGCUUUGUGGCUGCAGGUGCGUGAAGGUGGGGCUGUUUGUGGGAGCUGACGCUGUCUGAGGAGCCCGGCUGUGCUGGAGAUGGGGCUUUACAGAAACGAUGUCUAUAGCAGCACCAUCCCAAACUUUCUGUGAGGAUGGAAGUAUCCUCUGUACUGUCAUGUGGCUGUGGAGCUGCUGAAGAGUGACUGGUGUGUCUUAGAAGUGGAAUUUUGAAUUUUGCUUAAUAUCAAUUUAUUUAAAUUUAAAUAGCCACAUGUAUGUGUUAAUCAUGUUUUUUAUUUUCUGUAUUUUAUGAUGCUUUGGACAUGUUGGGGGCCCUGCUGACUAAGGAGAACCUGCCCCCACCAGGACUAGCUAGUUCCUGGAGACAGCAAACAACUUGCCUGUGAGCACGUCUUUCAUGUGCAAACCAACCAGUCCAAAGCCACAGCCACCUCCUCUCCUCUGUCUAGGUCACUCACCCAGCCAGUGGUUCCCUGCCCUGAAUCACCUGGGGCCAGGGAGAGAGAGUUAGAGACCACGCCACAGCCUAGAGCCCACUGAAAUCGUUCAGGCUAUCCAGUCCUAAACUGUUUAUCCUGCCCUACCUUGCCUUUUGUCUGGAAACCACAGUAAAGGCUUGUGCCCCUGUUUUCCUCUCCUUCCUCCUCACCAACCCUGGUACUUGCCCAUGUGGCCCUGUGUGGCACGGGGUGCCCCCUCCUCUUGGGAACUGUGAGUAAUAAACUUUCUUUCAAGGCAA